rnacentral:rRNA from 1 species
AGCGAACGCUGGCGGCAGGCCUAACACAUGCAAGUCGAACGAAGUCUUCGGACUUAGUGGCGGACGGGUGAGUAACACGUGGGAACGUGCCUUUAGGUUCGGAAUAACUCAGGGAAACUUGUGCUAAUACCGAAUGUGCCCUUCGGGGGAAAGAUUUAUCGCCUUUAGAGCGGCCCGCGUCUGAUUAGCUAGUUGGUGAGGUAAAGGCUCACCAAGGCUACGAUCAGUAGCUGGUCUGAGAGGAUGACCAGCCACAUUGGGACUGAGACACGGCCCAAACUCCUACGGGAGGCAGCAGUGGGGAAUUUUGCGCAAUGGGCGAAAGCCUGACGCAGCCAUGCCGCGUGGACGAUGAAGGUCUUAGGAUUGUAAAAUCCUUUCACCGGUGAAGAUAAUGACUGUAGCCGGAGAAGAAGCCCCGGCUAACUUCGUGCCAGCCGCCGCGGUAAAAC